UUAACUCGGGUUCCGAAGAACGUGGCGAAUAAGCACAAUUGUGUAACAAGAGAGACCUGACAAGAUAAAAAUGACCAAAACCAGGACCCCUAACGAUCAGCAUCUCUGAACCAAGCAAAAAUAAAAAAAAGGCUUUUUCCAAUGUGAAUGGAAGCGCAGGAACCGUUGAAACAACUCUGGGUUAAGCAGUAGAAAUAACCACAAUUAAUAGAUCUGAAAACGGGGAGGAAUUUUUCGACACAUUCACUCAACCGCCGGAUCUUCUGCUCUGCUCAGCGGACGAUUUCUAAUUUCAAAGCUAAAAGGUCGGGGUGUGGGGGGGGGAGAAUCCGAAAACGUCCAAGUUUUAGACUUUGCGCCUCCCGAGACUUUCGGCGCGGGGGGCGGUCGCCGGUUCUUCCGUGCAGGUCGGGAUCGCGAACACCCACUGCUCAGCCCGGCGACAAUAUUCCCUGCUCCGCUGGGCCGGAGGGUUACGGGGGGGCCGGUGCACCCGUGAAACGAUUCCAGCCAGACUUGAAACGCGUCGCGUUCCCCCAAAUCGGCUCGGAGAGAGCGGGCAAUCUCGCGCUUUCUUUGGGGGUUAACUCCAGUUGACAACAAACAAAUCCCCAGAGAAAAGGGGAAGCAAAGCGACAGCUCCCCGUCCUAAAUGCAAUGGUUGUUGGGUUUUUUUUGGGGGGGGUCUUGGUUUAAAGAAUCCCAAAUGUCGCUAAUUUCACGACUUUCCAUCCUUUGUCGGUUUUUGUAUUUGGGAAUCUGGCUCCAAUGAAUCCCCGAGCUAAAUCAAGGGGUCAAAAGUUGUGCCCUGAAAUAGACAGGCCCACACAAACCCCACAGGCAAUAUGUGGCCACUAAGAUUUGAAGAAGUCUGGUCCCCCCCCCCGGCCCUCCCCCCCAGAGAGAGGUUUCCUGCUUGUUGGACUGGGGAUGUUCUGCGGCUGGUAGAUAAGAGGCAAAGGGCCGCCUGUGCCCUGCUGAUAAGGAAACCCCGAGUCAGACUCAACCUAACGGGAGACUUGGAAAGAAAACAAGAGGAAACUGUAGUGGCAGAACAUGACCCACCAAACAGGAGUGUUCACAGAGCGAGCGUGGAGCCUGUUCGUUAAUUACACGUCUGCAAACCAUAAUAACCUUGGAUCUGGGGAAAGGGACCGCCCCCCCCGGCCCUGCCCGCUUUUGGGGUUCCUUAAAGGCACCGGGCGCCCCCCUUUUGGGUGACCACAGGGCCUGCCUCGCUUCAGAGUAAUCUAUGAGUUGGAGCCAAAGGUCAACGCCCCGAAAUCCAGGAUCGGCUCCGCGGGAAAAGCCAAGAGGUUUUCGGGGAGGGGGGGGAACAUUCUCAUCAAUAGUUUGGGGAUUAAAUCCCGAGCUGGGUUGCAGGGAUCCCGCGGGGAUGGCCUGACGCCAGCGCGGGCGGGAGAGAUGCCGCAGGCAGCGGGAGCUGCAGUGGAGAAGGUGCUUGCACCAAUGCUGGGGAAGAAGAGAGCGCACAGGGGAGCGACGGGCAUGGGGGCUGAAAUCUACCCAUCUGGCAGCAGGCUGGGACUCAGGACUCCUGAGUUCUAUUCCUGGUUCUGCCACCGACCUCCCGGGAGCCCUGGGCAAGUUAUAGCCCACUCUGUGCCUCAGUUUCCCCGCUCCUCAGUCUACGUACACUGUAAGCUCAUUGGGGCAGGGACUGUGUGUAUGCGGUGGCCGCUAUGAGGGGGCACUCGUCUCGGUUUGGGGUUACAAAAAUUGUGUAAGAGACUCAAAUAGGAGCGAGGUGCCCGACCGCCCCCUGAACAUCGGGCACCCAAUGGCACUGGGGGUCUGGAAAUCUCUCCCAAUAAUCAUAAUUAUCUAGCUGCUUCCCUAAACACUAAGACACCGGCCUAUCUGUCCGUCCAUGCCCACCACCCGUCUGUCUAGCCUCCUACACACUGAUCUACCUGUAGCUUCAGGCUGCCUGACACGUCCCAUGUUAAGAUCCUGUAUUCCGCAGCGUCUGACUUUGCCGAACUUUAAGCCCCCGGCCUGGAGUUUGCCAAGCAGGGGUUUGCCUUCCGCAGAAGGGGUUUGUUUUGGAAAGUUUCAGUUGUUCCAGAGAACCCGGGGAGGGAAGACUACAGUGGUGUUGCCAGAGUU